rnacentral:rRNA from 1 species
UGCGUAGAGAUCUGGAGGAAUACCGGUGGCGAAGGCGGCCCCCUGGACGAAGACUGACGCUCAGGUGCGAAAGUGUGGGGAGCAAACAGGAUUAGAUACCCUGGUAGUCCACGCCGUAAACGAUGUCGACUUGGAGGUUGUGCCCUUGAGGCGUGGCUUCCGGAGCUAACGCGUUAAGUCGACCGCCUGGGGAGUACGGCCGCAAGGUUAAAACUCAAAUGAAUUGACGGGGGCCCGCACAAGCGGUGGAGCAUGUGGUUUAAUUCGAUGCAACGCGAAGAACCUUACCUGGUCUUGACAUCCACAGAACUUUCCAGAGAUGGAUUGGUGCCUUCGGGAACUGUGAGACAGGUGCUGCAUGGCUGUCGUCAGCUCGUGUUGUGAAAUGUUGGGUUAAGUCCCGCAACGAGCGCAACCCUUAUCCUUUGUUGCCAGCGGUCCGGCCGGGAACUCAAAGGAGACUGCCAGUGAUAAACUGGAGGAAGGUGGGGAUGACGUCAAGUCAUCAUGGCCCUUACGACCAGGGCUACACACGUGCUACAAUGGCGCAUACAAAGAGAAGCGACCUCGCGAGAGCAAGCGGACCUCAUAAAGUGCGUCGUAGUCCGGAUUGGAGUCUGCAACUCGACUCCAUGAAGUCGGAAUCGCUAGUAAUCGUGGAUCAGAAUGCCACGGUGAAUACGUUCCCGGGCCUUGUACACACCGCCCGUCACACCAUGGGAGUGGGUUGCAAAAGAAGUAGGUAGCUUAACCUUCGGGAGGGCGCUUACCACUUUGUGAUUCAUGACUGGGGUGAAGUCGUAACAAGGUAACCGUAG